UCUGAACUAAAAAGGGUAAUACUUUUUAAGAAACCCAUAUUCUUUGGCGGCCUUUUUUCCUAUUGGAGGAACUUGUCCAUUAAUCGAAAUUACCCGAUCAUUUUCUCUUUUAUAAAGUCUUUAUACCGUCGUCUUAAGAUUAUUGUUUAAAAAAUUACUCUAACCUGAAUUAUCAAGAAAGUCAGAUCAAGGUGAAGCUGAUAUAGAAGGCUAGGGUGAGUUAUGUAUAAGUACUACUAAAGGAAUUAUUUUGAAAAAUUUAUCUGAAUUAAGAUUCAACAGUACUAAAAACCUAAAAUUUUUCAGGGAAGACGUAAAAAAAGGUGU
rnacentral:rRNA from 1 species